AGAGCGAACGCUGGCGGCAGGCUUAACACAUGCAAGUCGAGCGGGCGUAGCAAUACGUCAGCGGCAGACGGGUGAGUAACGCGUGGGAACGUACCUUUUGGUUCGGAACAACACAGGGAAACUUGUGCUAAAUACCGGAUAAGCCCUUACGGGGAAAGAUUUAUCGCCAAAAGAUCGGCCCGCGUCUGAUUAGCUAGUUGGUGAGGUAACGGCUCACCAAGGCGACGAUCAGUAGCUGGUCUGAGAGGAUGAUCAGCCACAUUGGGACUGAGACACGGCCCAGACUCCUACGGGAGGCAGCAGUGGGGAAUAUUGCGCAAUGGGCGAAAGCCUGACGCAGCGACGCCGCGUGGGGGAUGAAUGCCUUCGGGUUGUAAACCCCUUUCAGCAGGGACGAAGCGAAAGUGACGGUACCUGCAGAAGAAGCGCCGGCUAACUACGUGCCAGCAGCCGC
rnacentral:rRNA from 1 species